rnacentral:rRNA from 1 species
AGUGAACGCUGGCGGUAGGCCUAACACAUGCAAGUCGAACGGCAGCACAGUAAGAGCUUGCUCUUACGGGUGGCGAGUGGCGGACGGGUGAGGAAUACAUCGGAAUCUACUUUUUCGUGGGGGAUAACGUAGGGAAACUUACGCUAAUACCGCAUACGACCUACGGGUGAAAGCAAGGGAUCUUCGGACCUUGCGCGAUUGAAUGAGCCGAUGUCGGAUUAGCUAGUUGGCGGGGUAAAUGCCCACCAAGGCGACGAUCCGUAGCUGGUCUGAGAGGAUGAUCAGCCACACUGGAACUGAGACACGGUCCAGACUCCUACGGGAGGCAGCAGUGGGGAAUAUUGGACAAUGGGCGCAAGCCUGAUCCAGCCAUACCGCGUGGGUGAAGAAGGCCUUCGGGUUGUAAAGCCCUUUUGUUGGGAAAGAAAAGCAGCAGGUUAAUACCCCGCUGUUCUGACGGUACCCAAAGAAUAAGCACCGGCUAACUUCGUG